rnacentral:rRNA from 1 species
GUGAGGAAUAUUGCGCAAUGGAGGCAACUCUGACGCAGCCAUGCCGCGUGCAGGAAGAAGGCGCUACGCGUUGUAAACUGCUUUUAACCGGGAAGAAACCCCAGGACGUGUCCUGGGUUGACGGUACCGGAGGAAUAAGCACCGGCUAACUUCGUGCCAGCAGCCGCGGUAAUACGAAGGGUGCAAGCGUUAUCCGGAUUCAUUGGGUUUAAUGGGUGCGUAGGCGGAGCGUUAAGUCAGUGGUGAAAUCCUGCAGCUUAACUGUAGACUUGCCAUUGAUACUGGCGCUCUUGAGUGCGCUUGAAGUGGGCGGAAUGUGCCGUGUAGCGGUGAAAUGCUUAGAUAUGGCACAGAACACCAAUUGCGAAGGCAGCUCACUAAGGCGAUACUGACGCUGAGGCACGAAAGCGUGGGGAUCGAACAGGAUUAGAAACCCGGGUAGUCC